rnacentral:tRNA from 4 species
UGAGCCGUUAGCUCAGCCGGUAGAGCAUCUGACUUUUAAUCAGAGGGUCGGCAGUUCGAACCUGCCACGGCUCAU